UACGUAGGGACCAAGCGUUGUUCGGAUUUACUGGGCGUAAAGGGCGCGUAGGCGGCAAUUCAAGUCAUCUGUGAAAUCUCCGGGCUUAACUCGGAAUGGUCAGGUGAUACUGCUUUGCUAGAGUGCAGAAGGGGCAAUCGGAAUUCUUGGUGUAGCGGUGAAAUGCGUAGAUAUCAAGAGGAACACCUGAGGUGAAGGCGGGUUGCUGGGCUGACACUGACGCUGAGGCGCGAAAGCUAGGGGAGCAAACGGG
rnacentral:rRNA from 1 species